GUGUGGAUAAGCAGUGUUUACCGAGUUCAACAGUUCUAGAAUAGUUUGGUUUCGUCAGUCCGCUUUAGAUUCCUUUAUAUUACAGCUUUCAUUUGGGCCCUUGUAUGUGUGUUGCAUAAAGUAUCACAGCAGUACACCCAUAAAUAGGUCACAAACUAGCCCAGGGCUGGCUAUAAUGCUAACUACAUGCUAACGGUUAAUUGUACCAUAUCUUCGUCUGUGUUUGAUGUACAUGAACAACACUUAUAUAGUGCUGUAGCCCUGACUCUGUUGUUUAAUUUGAUGUUAAAUAUGUAUAUAGUCAUAUAGUCAGCCAUUUGAACCCCAAGGCACUGGCUGACCAAGGAAAAAAAGUACUUUUUUAUUUUUUUUCAGAGCUCUGAAUAUUGUUUUAUAGUAGUAGUUAUAGGUGAUAAGCAAACUGUAGGAAAUUGUGUUAUUGAUUAAAUGCCGGCAGUUGUUCAGUUAAACUAAAGUGUUUGUGUGUAUUGUUUCCCUCUCCUACUUGAAAAGAGCGCUAGUACAGUAUGUAACUGAGUGUAAUAUUAUAGUCCAACACACUGAGGAGGUCUUUCCUGAAUGCCAACAAAGAGGUGUCGUCUACACACAGGAAGAUCUCCUAGAAGUUGAGUCAUCGAGGAUCCUGAACUAGCUGAUUGCUCAGACAUGACAGGACAUGUCUGACUGUUCUUCAAGAUUAAAAUGAGCCAUCUUCUCCAGGUCAACAGACACAUUGUGUGUCUCAACAACAAGCAAUCAACGAGUGUGGAACAAGUUAUACAUAUUUAUUUAGCCUCAUACAAGACUUCGUUACAGAAAACCAGUCAGUCAGAAGCUGUAAAGAUGUCUCCACCUGCUAAUGCUAGCGUCAACCAGAAGAUUCUGCAGUAUGAAGGCUUCAUCAACGAAGUUCUGAUGAGAGAUUUAGGAAGGGUGUUGGAGCAGAGAGAUACUGUUUAUGAGAAGAUCGCUGAGUACUUACAGCUGAAGAACACCAUCCAGAGUCUGCAGGUACACAAGGAAAAUGCAAUGAAAUAUGGCAAAAGAGAACAGAGGGCUUCUCAGGUCUUGUCGCCCGCUGAUGACAUGGGGCCUCAUGUACGAAGGAACUCUGACUCUCGGCUGUUGAAGACCGAUGUGGAUCUUGGCUGUCACUUCUACAUACAGGCUGAAGUGUAAGAUACUGAUCAAGCCCUCGGUCACCAUUGGUAUUGAUCCAUUACAGAGCAUAAAACUGCAGCAUGUUAACGCUCUCAGAUCUGUGCUCAGUCAUGUUCCAGUUGUGUUAUUUGGGAAUAUCUGCUUUGACUUAAACAAGGUUUUUCUGCCAAUGUUCCACUGACUAUUGUGUUUCUGUCAGCGAGGACUCAUCCAGGGUCUUUGUGGCAGUCGGUUAUGGCUUCUUUGUGGAGAUGACCCACACUGAAGCUCUAAGGUUCAUUGAUAAGAAGACAAGUCAGCUCACAGCCUUUACAGAGCAGCUCACUAAAGACUCUGCCAAAAUAAAAG